GUCCAAAAGUACCCAAUUUGAAACCAAUGCUCUCUUGGUCAGCACCGCAGACCUCAAGCCAAUACCCUGGAGGUCCGCACCGCAACACCUCCCGACAGUACCACUGCCGCUCUAACAUGCAUAUAACCCCUCGGGGCUCACGGGUUGUCACCAUUCAACCACUUUUCCGGAAAAGAACACUCCUUGCGGUGGAUCAGACCGCCAGUGUUCGUGAAAUGCGACGAGUACGGCAAUCAAUGCAAUAUGCUCAAUGAUCAACCGUCGGCAACCAGCCGACAAUCCUGCCCCCCAAGGCCCAUCGACCGCAUAGGUCGUCAACUGUAAAGAAGCACAAGAACCGACCACUCAGGUCAACUAGGAUGGGACAACAUCGACAUCCUCUCAAACAUAUGCAAAUACUGCUCAAUGAACCACAAGGACUGACCACUCAAAUCAACUAGGAUAUGAAACUCAACCAAUCAUGUCACAAGUAUAGGAUAUGAAACUCGACCAAUCAUGUCACAAAUACUGAAUACUAGAAUCGACCGACUAGAUCGCUAAUCUCAUAGAUAAUCACGAAAUCGCUCUACUAUAACUAUGAAACAGGGUAUGCAGAAAGCUAAGUAGAGCAACAAGGAAACAUGGUAUCACAUACAGAUAGACUAUACUCCUACACAUGAUACUAAGCGUGGAAACAUCUGAGUAGAGUAUAAUCAAACAACGUGGGUGUAAUGUAUACAAUAGAGGUGCAAAGCUCAAUAUAUAAUAUAAGCAUGGAUAAUAACAAAAGAGCAAGGGUAAGAAACUAUCACCGAGCGUGCACCACUGUACCAACGUCGGAUCGAAGUACCUACCUGUACAACUGCCGCACCUGUCUCCUGACUGCAAACGAACAUCAACAGGACCUAAGGAGGGUCCACUGGAUUAGUGUCUAACCCACAGCUAAGAAACCCUAAAAGCAUAACCCCAUAAAUAAACCACUGAAUACACAACCCACAGACAAUCCCACGGAGAUCGGUUUCCCAAAACCGAUUACCGAACAAACCGGAAGUCCCGAAAACCGCACCGAGACUCUGUCGGGACCACUGAAUUGUCUCGAAACGCACCGACUCAAACUACGAGUCACCUGCUGCCCCAAAACAUUCCAAUUUGGAUGUUUUGGCAGCAAACACAAGAUAACACCACUACACAAUUAUCGUCGGAUAAUUGUACGAAUCCGGGUUCCCGAAAGUGUCUAUUUCGACACCGGAACCCACCGUCGCUCACCCGUCAUCACCGAACCCACAAUGUGAUGAUGGUGACCAGCCAACAAGGCUUAGAGACUACUCACAGAGCAACCAAAAGACGUCGGAAGAAAUCCAAACCGAAACCGCGUUCUUUCGGCGAAUUUCGCCGAAAAACGCAUCGAAAUCGACUCUUCGAUUUCCGCAAAAGCUAACAGAUCAUGGACAAUCAGUCCAGAGGUCACCACACACGCCUAUACACUGCCCACAGUAGCCACAUAAUGCACAAUUGCACAAAAGCCCCUCACUUUACAUAAAAUCCUAAUAUUUUUUGUAAAUCAGGCGAUAACAUGGCUCGUUCACGCAAACUGAGGACUUCCAAGGUCCGCCGAGACACGUACUGAUAGGUCUCGACGUACUGGAGGCCGUGCUCAUGAUCUGGAGCACAAUGGCUCACUGUGGAAAGCGCGGGAGCAACCCGAAGGUUCAGCGAACAGCGCGCAGUCGGGGAAAAUCGCGCCGAACAGGCCGAUACGACAUCCACUGAUCCAAAGUAAUGUGAGCACUGUGAUCAGAACUGACCAACGAUCACCGUGCUCACCU
rnacentral:lncRNA from 1 species